rnacentral:rRNA from 1 species
UUGGGGUCCGAUUUAGCCAUGCUAGUUGCACGAGCUUAGACUCGUUGCGGAAAGCUCAGUAACACGUGGACAAACUACCCUACGGAGAGCCAUAACCUCGGGAAACUGAGGCUAAUAGUUCAUAGGAGAGUCGCGCUGGAAAUGCCGACUCUCCCAAACGCUCCGGCGCCGUAGGAUGUGUCUGCGGCCGAUUAGGUAGACGGUGGGGUAACGGCCCACCGUGCCGAUAAUCGGUACGGGUUGUGAGAGCAAGAGCCCGGAGACGGAAUCUGAGACAAGAUUCCGGGCCCUACGGGGCGCAGCAGGCGCGAAACCUUUACACUGCACGCAAGUGCGAUAAGGGGACCCCAAAUGCGAGGGCAUAUAGUCCUCGCUUUUCUCGACUGUAAGGCGGUCGAGGAAUAAGAGCUGGGCAAGACCGGUGCCAGCCGCCGCGGUAAUACCGGCAGCUCAAGUGAUGACCGAUAUUAUUGGGCCUAAAGCGUCCGUAGCCGGCCACGAAGGUUCAUCGGGAAAUCCGCCAGCUCAACUGGCGGGCGUCCGGUGAAAACCACGUGGCUUGGGACCGGAAGGCUCGAGGGGUACGUCCGGGGUAGGAGUGAAACCCUGUAAUCCUAGACGGACCACCGAUGGCGAAAGCACCUCGAGAAGACGGAUCCGACGGUGAGGGACGAAAGCUAGGGUCUCGAACCGGAUUAGAUACCCGGGUAGUCCUAGCUGUAAACGAUGCUCGCUAGGUGUGGCACAGGCUACGAGCCUGUGCUGUGCCGUAGGGAAGCCGAGAAGCGAGCCGCCUGGGAAGUACGUCCGCAAGGAUGAAACUUAAAGGAAUUGGCGGGGGAGCACUACAACCGGAGGAGCCUGCGGUUUAUUGGACUCAACGCCG